rnacentral:rRNA from 1 species
UACGAAGGGGGCUAGCGUUGUUCGGAAUUACUGGGCGUAAAGCGCACGUAGGCGGAUAUUUAAGUCAGGGGUGAAAUCCCAGAGCUCAACUCUGGAACUGCCUUUGAUACUGGGUAUCUUGAGUAUGGAAGAGGUAAGUGGAAUUCCGAGUGUAGAGGUGAAAUUCGUAGAUAUUCGGAGGAACACCAGUGGCGAAGGCGGCUUACUGGUCCAUUACUGACGCUGAGGUGCGAAAAGCGUGGGGAGCCAAACAGGG